GAAGAAGAAUGUCCCGAGAAACCUACUGAGACUAUAGGCAAGUCCAAGAGGGCUGCGUAUGAUAAGUGGAUAGCGGCUGAGAAGAUGGUUCGCUGUUACAUUUUAGCAUCCAUGUCAAACGUAUUACGGCAAAAGCUUGAAAGUCAGGAGACCUUUUAUGACCUACUAGAAAGCCUGAAGGGCAUGUUUGGACAUCAAAGUAGGAGGGCUCGUUUUGAAGCCAUUCGUACCUUACAGAACAUCCGCAUGAAACCCGAAACGCCUAUGAAGGAUCAUAUGUUGACUAUGAUUGUACACUUCCACGUGGCGGAGAAUCUGGGUGCAACUAUUGAUCAGGAAAUUCAAGUUGAUAUGGUAUUGAAUUCUUUAUCUGAUAUAUUUUCACAGUUUACUGUAGACUAUCACUUGCACAAGAUGAAUAUGUCAUUAACUGAGUUGGUGAAUGAGUUGCAAAAUGUGUAAAGUAGUCUCAAGGGUAAGGGUGGCCAUGCUCAUACGGUAAUUGCUAGCUCCUCUGGCUCCAAGCCGAAAGGCGAAAUUGGAAAGAAGAGGAAAAGAUCUAAACAAGAAGCCAGAAAGCAACAAAAAGCCCAAAUCAGAUGGAACGCCGAAAGGCAAGUGUUUCCACUAUGGUCGUAAAAGACACUGGAAGAAAGACUGCCCUGAUGCACAACCUAAAAAGUUGGGUGUUGGUGAGUUCUUUAUUGCUGAGUCAUGUUUGGUGGUUGAUUCUACAAAUUUAUGGGUUGUAGACUCUAGAGCCACUAAUCAUAUAUACAUGUCUAUGCAGGUGCUUCAGGAGAGCAGAAGGCUCAGAAAGGCCAG
rnacentral:lncRNA from 1 species